GAGAAUUGCUGCUCUUUGUAAUGACUGUGGGGGUUGUCAAAGUUUCUUGUUACCCUGUUGGAAAGUCCCAGAAGCAAGAUCAAGUCUCUCUGCAGAGGAGACUUGGAGAGCUGUCAUCAAAUGACGUCUCCAUUGAGCAUGCCCUGGCCUUGCUCCGAUCCAUAGGGUCUGACGCUAAACAAGACAGAGAA